GACGAACGCUGGCGGCGUGCUUAACACAUGCAAGUCGAACGGAAAGGCCCUGCUUUUGUGGGGUGCUCGAGUGGCGAACGGGUGAGUAACACGUGAGUAACCUGCCCUUGUCUGUGGGAGAACUUCAGGAAAAUGGGGCUAAUACCCGAGAGAAGCUCCUGAUGCAUGUGGGGGGAUGGAGAGUUUCGGCGGUUGGGGAUGGACUCGCGGCUUAUCGGCUUGUUGGUGGGGUAGUGGAUUACCAAGGUUUUGACGGGUAGCCGGCCUGAGAGGGUGAACGGCGUCAUGGGGACUGAGAGACGGCGCAGACUGCUACGGGAGGCAGCAGUGGGGAAUAUUGCACAGUGGGCGGAAGCCUGAUGCAGCAACGCCGCGUGCGGGAUGCCCUCCUUCGAGUUGUAAACCGCUUUCGCCUGUGACGAAGCGUGAGUGACGGUAAUGGGUAAAGAAGCACCGGCUAACUACGUG
rnacentral:rRNA from 1 species